rnacentral:tRNA from 1 species
UAGCUCAGUGGUAAAGUGCAUGCUUAGUAUGCAUGAGGUCCUGGGUUCAAUUCCCAG